rnacentral:misc_RNA from 1 species
AGGACUUCUCCUAUGUGUUCAGCAGCAUCAUGCAAAUUUGUGACACGUACCACACCCUUUAAUACAAUAUCUGUUUCAGAGUCGCUAUUUUGAUAAACAACUCCAGGGCAGUCAAUCAAGAAGAUCCGUUUUGUUAAUGUUAUAUAUUGCCAGACUUUAGUCUCCCCUGGGAUAGGAGCAACCUUGCAAACAUUCUUAGUGCGCAGUGUAUUGAUAACUGAUGACUUUCCAACAUUAGGAUACCCAACAAAUCCCACAGAUAUUGCUUGCUUGUCAUUUUUCAAGCGGGCAAAUUGUCUCAAUACUGAUAGAAGAGAGCCCUUGCCAAAAGACUUGUUGAUGCUUGCAUGGAAUGCAAGAGUUGGAUAUUCCUUGGAUAAUAUCCUUAACCAACCUUUUGUAGCCCAAGCUGGAACAAGAUCACACUUGUUCAACAG